rnacentral:tRNA from 1 species
GCCCCGCUGGCUCAGCGGACAGAGCACCCGCCUCCUAAGCGGCAGGUUGCUCGUUCGAUCCCAGCUCGCGGCA